GACGAACGCUGGCGGCGUGCUUAACACAUGCAAGUCGAACGGAAAGGCCCUGCUUUUGUGGGGUGCUCGAGUGGCGAACGGGUGAGUAACACGUGAGUAACCUGCCCUUGACUUUGGGAUAACUUCAGGAAACUGGGGCUAAUACCGGAUAGGAGCUCCUGCUGCAUGGUGGGGGUUGGUAAGUUUCGGCGGUUGGGGAUGGACUCGCGGCUUAUCAGCUUGUUGGUGGGGUAGUGGCUUACCAAGGCUUUGACGGGUAGCCGGCCUGAGAGGGUGACCGGCCACAUUGGGACUGAGAUACGGCCCAGACUCCUACGGGAGGCAGCAGUGGGGAAUAUUGCACAAUGGGCUGAAGCCUGAUGCAGCAACGCCGCGUGCGGGAUGACGGCCUUCGGGUUGUAAACCGCUUUCGCCUGUGACGAAGCGUGAGUGACGGUAAUGGGUAAAGAAGCACCGGCUAACUACGUG
rnacentral:rRNA from 1 species